GGGCCAUAUGUUAGUUAGGUUUCUAUAAGAAUCUAUGUGGACGUAUAUUUAGUUCCAUAUUAAUUAUUUACAGAGAAAAUCUUAAAUAUUUAUAUGGAGUUGAGAAAUCUAAAUAAUACUUUUUUAUUGAUCUUUUUGGAUGAGAUCAUAGAUUGUUGUAGUUCUUAUCAAAUAUUUCUUCCUACAAAUUAGGAAGAUCAAUAUUCUAUUUGAAUUAAAUUUUUAUUUAUAUUUCAUGUUGUUUUUAUUUGUAUUUUUACUACUACA
rnacentral:lncRNA from 1 species